ACGUGAUGAUGAAGAUGAUCUGGAUUCCCAACCCAUACCCAUUACUGAGCCUCAGGGAGAUGCUGAGGAUGUGUCUGCAGGGAGGACUUUCCCAGGUCCUCUGGUGGAUGUUGCACAUAAGCCCCACUCCCAUCGCAGGGGUCCCCUGAGAAGGAAGAACAAACCUACAGGAGACAAUGCAGCCGGCACCUCAACACGUGCUGACAAGACCCGGAAAAGCAUGAGAAGAGUUUUCUGCUGGGGAACACCUUGUUUGGUUAAGUUGAUGGCCAUUGUGCUUGGUGCAGCACUUUGCCUGAUGAUUUGCUCUGCUGGAAUCUGGUAUUGCUGGAAGAGAAAAUGGUGAGUGUUUUGGUGAUCUCGACCUCAAACAGCUUCCUUUAAUGGCUGUUGAUAGUCAGGGAACAUUCCCAGUGAGGCUGCAGUGGAGCUGUGGCCAGUCUGUGGUUGUCCAAAGAACUCUGCUGAGGGCUCUGCUGCUGCCCAGUGCUUUCAUUGGCCUCUUCAUUGCUGGGCCUUGUCCUGGGGGGCCCGCUGGGGCUGCAGCCAGUGCUGGCUCCCACUGAGGCUGCCAGGCCAAGAGCAGCCCCAGGGGCACAGGGCACAGGCAAGGCAAGGUGGGGAGAAGAAAGAGCAGGGACGAGAUUACCCUUGAAAGGCAGUCACGCUCUGGGGCCCGCUCCUGGCCAGGGAGCCUGCCC